rnacentral:rRNA from 1 species
UGCGGAGGGGGCUAGCGUUGAUCGGAAUUACUGGGCGUAAAGCGCGUGUAGGCGGGUCCUUAAGUCGGGGGUGAAAGCCCGGGGCUCAACCUCGGAACUGCCUUCGAUACUGAGGACCUGGAGUCUGGGAGAGGUGAGCGGAAUUCCGAGUGUAGAGGUGAAAUUCGUAGAUAUUCGGAGGAACACCAGAGGCGAAGGCGGCUCACUGGACCAGUACUGACGCUGAGACGCGAAAGCGUGGGGAGCAAACAGG